GGUGAGGGGAAUGUCGUCUGGCUCAAGAAAUUUGUCAAACUGGCCAUGUCGAUCCCUCAGGAGAUUUCUCUCGGACCAGGCUUCAUUCCCCUCCC
rnacentral:pre_miRNA from 1 species